GACAGAAUGGGAGAAAAUACGAUCAUAGUCCGAGCCACCCAGACAGCAUUCUUCUCUGACACGUUUGCGAUACAGAUCUCAGCCCAGAGGACGGUCCAGGAGGAGAAGCCAGGCGCGGUGAGCCCCGUGGGUAGAAGCGUCAGGACUGGCGUGGUGCAAAAGUUUUCAAAGCAGUUUAAUAUACGUUUCUUCUGAGUCUCACGGGGACCCUUCCGGUGGCAGAGGAAACAUUAACACGCCCAUUUUUACUGACGAGGAACUCCCAAGGACAGGAAGAUGAAGUCCACAUUAUGGAUUGACUAAAAUCACACAGUUCACAGUCAAACCAUUCUGUGUCUGAUUCAUCAUUUUGCUGCUUCUUAGCUGGGCAACCACGG